UCUACAACGAACUUGACUUUUAAUGACCAUUUCUUAACGACAUGACAUAAAUCCGGUCAGUAUAAGUGUAUUUAGGUGACCAAAAAUAUUUACGGUCGUUAAAGUCUAUUUCUAGUUCAAAGAAUGGCGACAAUAUAAUAUCCGGUCGGUUAAGAUGACAAUAUCCUGUCGUUAGUACUAGCUAGUAUUUUGGCGGAAAAAAUAGAUCACUCCCAUUAUUCCCCAAAACUUCUCUAUUUUUUACAAAAUAAAAGGAAACCGCUUCAGUAAUUAGAAAGGGAAAAAAGGGAGCCAAAUCCUAUACUCCAUUUCUAGGGUUACAUGAAUCAAUUCUCUGCUUUCCGCUUCUACUCAAGCAUGAAAUCUGAGUCUCAACUUCUAAACAUUGGUUAGAUUCUCCGUUCAUUUUAUUUCAGACCCAGUUAUUGCAAAGCAGGCGAUCUUCUGUUGAAGUUUUCCUACAGGCUAUUCGAUAUCUUGAUUGUGCGGUUCGAGAAGUUCUUCCCAAUUGUCACUGAAUAGAGGAGAAAUCUACUUGUAGAUCAGGUUCAAGGAGUUCUGUGAGGAUUGCGUCUUCAAGCAUUAGGGCAGGUAAUAGCUAUUGUUUAGAAGCAUGUACGAAUUCCUAAAGAAAUUUUAUGGUUGUCUUUUCAAUUAUCCCUUUUUUUUAGAAAUUUAUCUGUCAUGUUAUAUUAUGCUUUUUUCACGUUUAUUUGGUUGACUCUGUUGACACAAUCUUUGCCCAAUCAAAAGAUUAUGAUUGUUGAAGACUUGGAUUGACAAAGUUUGUAGUGUUCAUGUUCAUUAUUGGCUGCUUAAAAUUUUUUGGUUGUGUUUUGUGUUUGCAUCAGUUCAGUCUCUCUUUAGUUGUCUUGCAGUGGACAUAUUCAUGCAUUGCGUCUCUUAGGUUCAUCCUUGCAACCGUCCUGCAUUUGACUUCAUAUUGCUUAGGUUCUCAUGCUAACUCUUGUUAUUCUUUAUGACUUUUAAUGAUUCUUGCUUUGUGAGUUUUAGUUUUCAAAUCAUGGUUAAGGAGAGGACAAACUUGAGAGAGUUUUUGAAGCUAAAAAGCCUGUAAUCCUAAGUGCUUACUUUCACUUUUUAUUAUCGAUUCUGUGAAGCAUUUAUUUUUAUGAGUAUUGAUAUAAGUAGAAAGAAAGAAGUCAGAUCCUAUUGAAUAGGAGAGCAUUGAUGAUACCGUAUAGUCAUAAUAGUUUUUGCAAUUUUGCGGCUUUAAUUUCAGUUUUCAAAAUUGAUUAUCUCAUUUUCACUUUGUUGCUAGAGACAUGUUUUGAUCGUCUUUAAUUUUUUUCAUAUUCAGAGGUUAAUUUCUUGAGCAUAAAUGUGUUUGUAUGUUCGUACUCCGGAUCACUGCAUAGGUUAUUUACUUUAGUACUGAUUUAUGUAUUUAUUUCCUCUUUUUGGACCUUUUAAUUGAACUUGUUGGGACUUGCUGGUAGCUGUAUUAGUUUUCUCUGUUUUGGACAUGCUACUUGAAUUUCUUGUUGAAAUUUGCUGGUUUCUAUAUUGGGUUUUUCUAUUUUGGAUCGGCUACUUGAAUUUCUUGUUGAAUGUUACUGGUUUCUGCAUCUACUUUCUUUCUUUACCUUCUACUUGAAUAUGUUGUUGAAAUUUAUUGGUUUUUGUACGUAUUUUCCCAUUUUUGUACCUUUUACUUAAAUUUAUUACUGAUAUUUGUUUAUUUGUGGUACACAACAUCUAAGCUUUUCCGAAAUUGCUGUUCUAUAAUUGUUUUCAAUUGAAGCAUCAUAAAAGGAGAAGAGAAAGAAACACUGGAUAGGUGAAAUUAAGGAGGUUUUGGAGAAGUGUGUAAAUUCGCAGCUAUGGCAUGCCUUUGCUGGAGUAAUGGUGCAAAUCCCUCUAGUCAGCUCCAAGGUCGACUAUUUUCCAUAAGGGCAUGCUGAGCAUAUUCUUACAAUCGUGGAUAGUUUCUAAUCAUGAUUUUAAGGGCGGGGGGGGGGGGGGGGGGGGGGGAAGUAGAAUUGUGUCAUUUCUUUAAUGUCAAAUAUCAACCAAAUCAAAAUAGGAAAACAUGACAAAAGAUCUAUUAUAGAAAUAAGACAUACAUUUUUGUAAAUCUUUUGCAGGAAAGUCUAUUUCAAUCUUCAAACUUAAAAGUGCUGGAGCAUCAGGUUCCUUAUGAACAGAAUAGAUUGAGAAUCUGAAGUCUGAAGAGCCUGGACUUGAAGAAACUGAUGAGCAAGUCGAAGAAACUGAAAAUGUUAAAGAACAAGUUGAAGCACAAGCGGAGCCUAUUCUCUGUUUUGUUAGGAUUGUUUUUAGAUGUUUUUCUUUCUUGUACAUGUUACAACUUUAUUUCCUCUUUUAAUAGGAGACAAAUUAAAUGUCAUACUAUUUAGAUGUGUAUGUUUUUCAAUGUGAUGAUUAGUUCCUUGUAAUUAACUACCAAAUUUUAAUGAAGUACUGAUAGUUUUGUAUG